UUUUUGUCGGCCUUUACUCGUGACAUUGGAGAAACGCGCAUCUUUGCACUGCGAUAAAUACAAUGUGUCAGGCAAAAGUGACAAGCUAGUAUCUAAAACACUGUGCUCGUUCCUGCAGUGGUUCGAAAGUGAUUGAUGACACUCCUUCGCGUGUUUUGCAAGUGGGGCGUACUGCAUUAAUUCCGAACUUCGCCAACCACAUGUUGCAAAUGCGCUGAAGCUGCUUGCAACUGCAGGGGACGGUGUGUGUUAGAAACCCGUGUCCUUUUUAUAUGUUAUAGAGCUUGUUCGAGCUGUUGCUUUUCUUAACACAUGCCUGGAAAGGUCGUCCGCCAUGAAAUAAAAACUCGUUUGGCAUUUUGCAAACCUAUUGUGAGAUGAAGAUUUGCGCUGUUUCCUAUAACACAGCUGAGUGUGUGACUGGCCACAUUUCAACUCGGCCGCGGAAGCUGCCGCCCGCCAUCCCCUCUGCAGCACCCCA
rnacentral:lncRNA from 1 species